rnacentral:rRNA from 1 species
AGUGAACGCUGGCGGUAGGCCUAACACAUGCAAGUCGAACGGCAGCACAGUAAGAGCUUGCUCUUACGGGUGGCGAGUGGCGGACGGGUGAGGAAUACAUCGGAAUCUACUUUUUCGUGGGGGAUAACGUAGGGAAACUUACGCUAAUACCGCAUACGACCUACGGGUGAAAGCAGGGGAUCUUCGUACCUUGCGCGAUUGAAUGAGCCGAUGUCGGAUUAGAUAGUGGGCGGGGUAAAGGCCAGCCAAGGCGACGAUCCGUAGCUGGUCUGAGAGAAUGUUCGGCGACAGUGGGACUGGAACACGGGCCAGACUGCGACGGGGAGCAGCAGUGGGGAAUAUUGGGCGAUAGGAGCAAGCCUGAUCCAGCCAUACCGCAUGGGUGGAGAAGGCCUUGGGGUUGUGAAGCCCUUUUGUUGGGAAAGAAAAGCAGCAGGUUAAUACCCCGCUGUUCUGACGGUACCCAAAGAAUAAGCACCGGCUAACUUCGUG